GGAAGUGACCUCUCCUGGUAUCCACACUGUAUACUGAGAACCUGAACUUUUCUAUUAGAGAGGUGUCAUGAACAGGCCCAGCAACAGGACGACUUCCCUGGUGGCGCAGUGGUUAAGAAUCCACCUGCCAAUGCAGGGGACACGGGUUUGAGACCUGGUCCAGAAAGAUCCCACAUGCCGCGGAGCAACUAAGACCGUGCGCCACAAUUACUGAGCCUGCGAGCCACAACUACUGAAGCCUGCGCACCUAGAGCCUGUGCUCCGCAACAAGAGAAGCCACCGCAAUGAGAAGCCUGUGCACCGCAACGAAGAGUAGCCCCUGCUCACCACAACUAGAGAAAGCCCACGCGCAGCAACAAAGACCCAACGCAGCCAAAAAUAAAUAAAGAAAUAAAGAAAUUUAUAAAAGCAA